GACGAACGCUGGCGGCGUGCUUAACACAUGCAAGUGGAGCGACGAACCAGGCUUCGGCCUGGGGCAGAGCCGCGAACGGGUGAGUAACACGUGGGUAACCUGCCUCGAUGACCGGGACAACCCGGGGAAACCCGGGCUAAUACCGGAUGUGCUGCCCUCACAUCAGUGAGGGUUGGAAAGAAGCUUCGGCCUCCGCAUCGAGAUGGGCCCGCGGCCCAUUAGCUUGUUGGUGAGGAAAGGCUCACCAAGGCUGCGAUGGGUAGCUGGUCUGAGAGGACGAUCAGCCACACUGGG
rnacentral:rRNA from 1 species